rnacentral:rRNA from 1 species
AUUGAACGCUGGCGGCAGGCCUAACACAUGCAAGUCGAGCGGAGCGGCGGACGGGUGAGUAAUGCCUAGGAAUCUGCCUGGUAGUGGGGGAUAACGUCCGGAAACGGGCGCUAAUAUCGCAUACUAUCAGAUGAGCCUAGGUCGGAUUAGCUAGUUGGUGGGGUAAAGGCCUACCAAGGCGACGAUCCGUAACUGGACUGAGAGGAUGAUCAGUCAAACUGGAACGGAGCAACGGUCCAGACUCGUUCGGGAGGAAGUAGGGGGGAAUAUUGAACAAUGGUCGAAAGCCUGAGCCAGCCAUGCCGCGUGUGUGAAGAAGGUCUUCGGAUUGUAAAGCACUUUAAGUUGGGAGGCGUUACCAACAGAAUAAGCACCGGCUAACGUCGUGCCAGCAGCCGCGGUAAUAC